UGAGGGAAAGUUGCAAAGAACUUUGAAGAGAGAGUUCAAGAGUACGUGAAACUGCUCAGAGGUAAACGAGUGGGCCCUCGAAAUCCCGUCGCGAGGGGAUUCAGUCGGGAGUCGGUGGGGUCGAGCGCAGCGACCGACGGGUCGUCCGCGGAUGCAGCGCACGACCGCCUUCGCCCGACGCAUUUCCCCUCGCGCAGUGGACGCCGCAGCCGGUUGGGAGUCGGCCAUGAAGACCGGCGACGGCAGGUGGCGGGGGACUCGCUCCGCGCGCAGUCUCUCGUUGUUAGCCAGCCGGUCCGGGGCGCGACGCCCGACCGAGGAGAAGGAGCACCCUAGGGAGCUCCGGCCGUGCACUCGCAAGCGCCGAGCGGAGCGGAGAGGCAGGAGCUUGCGGCUGGGACGGAUACCACACGAGUCUGUGGUCUGUCCUUCAGCUACUCCGGUGUUGCCACCCGCAUCCCGCCGCGAGCACGCUACGGCUAGCGGCGAGUAGGUCGGUCACCCACUCGUCCCGUCUUGAAACACGGACCAAGGAGUCUAGCAUGUGCGCAAGUCGCAGGGUCUUGAACAGGCCCGGGGGCGCAAUGAAAGUGGAGGCGGACGCCCUCCGACGGAGGUGUGUCGCUGCCGCGUUGGGAUCCCCGAUCUCUGGAUCGGGGCGCACCAACGGCCCGCGUCGAUCGAUUCAUCGACGGCGCGGAGCCGGAGCGCACACGCUGGGACCCGAAAGAUGGUGAACUAUGCCCGGGCAGAACGAAGCCAGGGGAAACCCUGGUGGAGGUUCGCAGCGGUUCUGACGUGCAAAUCGAUCGUCAGACCUGGG
rnacentral:rRNA from 1 species